UGUGAAAUCAGAGAUGUGACCAGUUGUGACACCUCCAGUGCCAUCCUGAGGUUCUCAUGGGCAGGAGAAAAACUUGAAGCUGCAGGCCCACAAGGGCCUGGCACUCUGAUGGGCUGGGAUUGGAAUGCGAUGACUGGCCUGGGUCACCAGAAUCUUCUCUGAUGAGCGAGCGAGUGAGCUGCACACAUGGGAGCCCUUGAAGGAUCAGGGAGCAGAGAUUUAAAACUUGGAAUGGGUGAUAACCUGCCAAUGAGUCAGAACCCACAUCCAGAAGUUGUGAUGAGAGGAACAGUGGUUGAUCCUUUGCUGCUCAAGCCCCCUUCAGUGCAGAGCAGUGGAGGAGCCCAGCAGCAUGGGUGCCAACACAGACCCCCUGCCACAAAUGAGAGAAAGAGGGCCUCUCUAAAUGAGAUCCUAGAAAAAAAAUUGAAGCCCAGUGGAAAAGUAAAGAAAAUCCCUACAAUAAAGGCAUACAAGACAACCAUAGCUGGUAAGUUGGAGGGAUCAGCACCUUCCAUUGGAACCUGGGCUAUCUUAGGGGAAGGGCAGCUGGAACCUAUAGUAGAACACUGCAGAGUUCAACCCAGCAGGAGGUCAGAGAUCUCAACUUGGGCCUUGCAGCCAGAAAUUGGCCUGAACCUCAGGGGACAACUGCUGCCUUGCUGAGACCAAUUAUCUUAGAUCUGCAUACUCCUGCCCACACUGUCUACUGUAUCAGCAGAGGCAUUCCCCGAAGGAGGCCCUUUAUUUUUAUUGUUUUCAAAGUAAUGUCUUUCUCUUAUUUUUAAUCAUUUUUUAAAGUUUUGUCUUUUUUUUUCCUCUUCUCAAAUUGUUCUCCUUUUUUCUCUUCUUUUUCUUUUUUCUUCUUUCUCUCUCUCUCCCACCUUGUUCUUCAUUUCUCUCCCUUUUUGUUCCUGUUUAUGUCCUAGUUCAAAUUUCUUUUUUCUUUCUUUUUCUUUUCUUCUCUUUUUCCUUCUCUCAAUUGUCAUUAGUUUCAAAAGAAAGUGAUUACAGUUUCUAGCCUCCCUGUUGCCAUUAGUUUGUUCUGUUCUUGUGUAUAUUUUGUUUGGUCUUCUCCUCUUCUCUUCAACAUAUUCCUAGAAUUUGUGUCAUCUUCCUGUAUCUUCUGGCCUCACUUAUAACCUUUCCCAAUCCUAUCUAUCUAUUCUUCCCUCUCCAACUCCUUCCAAGCCCCCAUCCUAAAGGGUAAAGUUGCUAUAUAUAUUGAAAAGUUUAUUCCCUAUAAAUAUAUUUUGGCUGGUCUUGAUUUCAAUUUAAUUCACAUGGUUAAAAGUGAUAGAUUAAUAACUACUACAAAUUGUCAUUUUCUAAACUGUGCUUGAUGCUGUUGUUGCUGAUUGUAUCACUUGGGCUAAGGUGUUAUGAUUGAUCUAAACAGUUGUCCCUCCUGGUAUUAUGAAAAUGAGAAUGUGUAAGAGUAACUAGAAACACAAAACCUAAAGAUCAGCUAUAUCUGGAAGAUAAAAGUAUUAACUCAGGAAUCAAAGCAAGGACAGGACCAACAAUAAAAAUAGAAAUGAAAAGACACUUAAGCAAGGUACAGACACAGACUUCCAGUUUACCAAAGGCAAAUUCUGCAGAAAACAAGGUGGAAAACUCUGAUAGUCAACCACCUGGACACCCUGAACUGAUAGCACAGGAAGAAACCAAACAGAUAAAU
ensembl:lincRNA